UCCCUGGUAGUCCAGUGGUUAGGACUCCAUGCUCACAAUGCAGGUGGCCCAGGUUCAAUUGCUGGUCAGGGAA